AGUCUCACUAAUUGGUGAGGAGGAUGUGGAUAAUGUCACCUAAAGAUGUUUUAGUAAUUGAUGAAAACUAGGAUGUGCUUGCUGCAAAAACACAG